rnacentral:lncRNA from 1 species
UAUAUAUUAGAUUGAUGAAGUGAACAAAGAUCAUAGUGAGCAUCAGUAUGGCCACCCAAGAAACAUUGCUAGAAAAUUCUAGAAAAUCCAUUUCUAAAACAUUUUGGUUAAUCCUCUCUUUAGCUGCUAUCAUAAGCUCAUCAUCCCUUAUUGUUUCUCAUCUCAACAAACCCAUCUCCUCCAUCUCACACCUCUCCUCAGCUCCCAAUGUGUGUGAACAUGCACUUGAUACAAAAUCUUGCUUAACUCAUGUAUCAGAGGUAGUUCAAGGUU